UCUUAUCGAGAGUCGGGGGAGGAACCUGGUCCGUUGAUCCCGCAGCAACCGUUACGAUGAAAGUAACAAGGUGCUAAUUCCAGCAAGCGAAUGCUUGAUAGAUGAGU
rnacentral:ncRNA from 1 species